rnacentral:rRNA from 1 species
UACGUAGGGACCGAGCGUUGUCCGGAAUCACUGGGCGUAAAGCGCACGUAGGCGGCCUACUAAGUCAGGGGUGAAAUCCUGGAGCUCAACUCCAGAACUGCCUUUGAUACUGGUGGGCUUGAGUCCGGGAGAGGUGAGUGGAACUCCGAGUGUAGAGGUGAAAUUCGUAGAUAUUCGGAAGAACACCAGUGGCGAAGGCGGCUCACUGGCCCGGUACUGACGCUGAGAUACGAAAGCGUGGGGAGCGAACAGG